UACGUAGGGUGCGAGCGUUAAUCGGAAUUACUGGGCGUAAAGCGUGCGCAGGCGGUUUUGUAAGACAGGCGUGAAAUCCCCGAGCUUAACUUGGGAAUGGCGCUUGCGACUGCAAGGCUAGAGUAUGUCAGAGGGGGGGUAGAAUUCCACGUGUAGCAGUGAAAUGCGUAGAGAUGUGGAGGAAUACCGAUGGCGAAGGCAGCCCCCCUGGGACGUCACUGACGCUCAUGCACGAAAGCGUGGGGAGCAAACAGG
rnacentral:rRNA from 1 species